rnacentral:rRNA from 1 species
CAAGCCCUGGAAACGGGGUCUAAUACCGGAUAUGACGCACGACCGCAUGGUCUGUGUGUGGAAAGCUCCGGCGGUGCAGGAUGAGCCCGCGGCCUAUCAGCUUGUUGGUGGGGUAGUGGCCUACCAAGGCGACGACGGGUAGCCGGCCUGAGAGGGCGACCGGCCACACUGGGACUGAGACACGGCCCAGACUCCUACGGGAGGCAGCAGUGGGGAAUAUUGCACAAUGGGCGAAAGCCUGAUGCAGCGGCGCCGCGUGAGGGAUGACGGCCUUCGGGUUGUAAACCUCUUUCAGCAGGGAAGAAGCGAGAGUGACGGUACCUGCAGAAGAAGCACCGGCUAACUACGUGCCAGCAGCCGCGGUAAUACGUAGGGUGCGAGCGUUGUCCGGAAUUAUUGGGCGUAAAGAGCUCGUAGGCGGCUUGUCACGUCGGUUGUGAAAGCCCGGGGCUUAACCCCGGGUCUGCAGUCGAUACGGGCAGGCUAGAGUUCGGUAGGGGAGAUCGGAAUUCCUGGUG